AUGAUAUACCCAACCACAAAAAGCCUGGAAGUCGGAAGUUAGAACAGAAAUACAAAGAGGUGUUGUUAUGGAGAUGAUACCCCGUCUCGUCUCGUCGCAUUGGUGUGAACUAGCAGCUUUCAGAACGCUACAGACCGGCUCGUUGCAAGAAGUUGCAAGUAUCAACUCUAACUCUUAACUAGGGC